UACGGGGGGGGUAAGCGUUGUUCGGAAUUACUGGGCGUAAAGGGCUCGUAGGCGGCCAACUAAGUCAUACGUGAAAUCCCUCAGCUUAACUGGGGAACUGCGUGUGAUACUGGAUGGCUUGGAUGUGGGAGAGGGAUGCGGAAUUCCAGGUGUAGCGGUGAAAUGCGUAGAUAUCGAGAGGAACACCUGCGGCGAAGGCGGGUAGCUGGGCCGACACUGACGCUGAGGCGCGAAAGCCAGGGGAGCGAACGGG
rnacentral:rRNA from 1 species